CCUAGUUAAUAUUUAUAAAAGUAUUAAAGGAAAUUACAUAAAUUAUCCCUAAUCCACAGAUUCUAAGGACAAUGCAGAGAUCUUGACAGUCAACAAGAUUUUCAUCCAAUCAUCCUAGCUACACAGUCCACCAUUUGCAGCAAAAUGACAUCCUAGCUACACAGUCCACCAUUUGCAGCAAAAUGACCUAUCUUUCAUUUUUGGUUAUUCUUCCAUAGAAGCGUUGAGCUGUAAUAUUCAUCUACUUGAAAACUAUUCUUGUUCUUUACAUUCAUGAUCCUGCAAGAGUAAACCUGCA
rnacentral:lncRNA from 1 species